UAUCCGCUAGGUUACGCUUUUUUGAUUUCAGUAGACAUUUUUCAGUGAAGCAGACGUGUGCGAAGAUUUAAGGCUCCGGCGCUUUUUUAUUUAAUCACAAGAGUACUAUGGCAGACAGGUUUACAGACAAUGCCAGUGUACGGAAAUGUCAUGUCGACAUGGUGCAAUCACUAUCUUCAUGGAUAUAUCCAGGAGAUGGUGGCAAAUGGGAGGAAUUUCAAAACCAAAUGACACUGCAUCUGGGACACGACAAAGUGUAUGGUGUAACACAGAACAGUAUGACUAAAAUUUGCCAGUGUCUUAUGGAUAAGCGUGUCAUUGGUUAUGGUGAAUACACUGUACUGCGAGCAGCGUUCAUAGAUAUUGGCAGAGUUCAAGCAGCUGAAGUUAUCGACGAGGCUUUGAAAGAAAUGGAAUCCCUUCGAUGACAAUAGAGGAAAUAAAUGGUUGACAUACUUGACAUACACUUCAUCAACCAUUAUAUUCGUAAUAAAAUUUGCAUUUGAAAAACAA